GUGGGGAAUCUUGCGCAAUGGGCGAAAGCCUGACGCAGCCAUGCCGCGUGAAUGAUGAAGGUCUUAGGAUUGUAAAAUUCUUUCACCGGGGAUGAUAAUGACGGUACCCGGAGAAGAAGCUCCGGCUAACUUCGUGCCAGCAGCCGCGGUAAUACGAAGGGGGCUAGCGUUGCUCGGAAUUACUGGGCGUAAAGGGCGCGUAGGCGGACAGCUUAGUCAGAGGUGAAAGCCCAGGGCUCAACCUUGGAAUUGCCUUUGAUACUGGCUGUCUUGAGUUUGGGAGAGGUGAGUGGAACUCCGAGUGUAGAGGUGAAAUUCGUAGAUAUUCGGAAGAACACCAGUGGCGAAGGCGACUCACUGGCCCAAUACUGACGCUGAGGCGCGAAAGCGUGGGGAGCAAACAGGAUUAGAAACCCUGGUAGUCC
rnacentral:rRNA from 1 species